CAGACCUCUAAUCGGAAAAGACUACCCGCU
rnacentral:rRNA from 11 species